UACGUAGGGUGCAAGCGUUAAUCGGAAUUACUGGGCGUAAAGCGUGCGCAGGCGGUUUUGUAAGUCUGUCGUGAAAUCCCCGGGCUCAACCUGGGAAUUGCGAUGGAGACUGCAAGGCUAGAAUCUGGCAGAGGGGGGUAGAAUUCCACGUGUAGCAGUGAAAUGCGUAGAGAUGUGGAGGAACACCGAUGGCGAAGGCAGCCCCCUGGGUCAAGAUUGACGCUCAUGCACGAGAGCGUGGGGAGCAGACAGG
rnacentral:rRNA from 1 species